CCAGGAAAGUGAAGUUCCAACACAAGAAUUAAAUUUUGCCCCAGUUUAUCAUCAAAGGACUUUUGCGAAAGUCACAUCAUUAUAGGAAUCAAGGAGAAUGACUCGACUAUAAGGUGCGUCUGAUAGGAAUCAAAGGAAUUGACUCGACUAAAAGGUACGUCUUCUAGGGGUCAAGGAGAAUGAAUCGACUAAAAGGUACGUCUUAUAGGAAUCAAGGGAGAUGACUCGACUAAAAGGUACGUCUUACUAGGAAUUAAGGGAGAUGACUCGACUAAAAGGUACGUCUUAUAGGAAUCAAAG
rnacentral:lncRNA from 1 species